UAACCGCUGAUAUUAUACUAUAAAUGGGAAGGAUUCCAGUAUUUUAUAUAAGGAUUGCCCUUCUCAAACUAGAUUCAUAGAGAAUUCAAUCUUCUUCAACUAUGAAGUAUUAUUUUUCUCACCGUAAUCUAUCCCUUGGUUUUCUUUGUAUGUUGCUUGAGUGGAACAAUUUUGAGCUCUAUAUAGACCAAGAUCUAUGAGGUAAUAUUGUUGAGUUCUGUGCAUAGAUGUCUAUUCGCCUAGAAUUUCUGUACUAUAAAGAAAUGGAGGUACAAACUAUAAAGAAAGUGCAAAACAAAAUUUUGUACUUCCGAAUUGCCGAUAUCCCCAAUUGUAAAAAUACAACUUUGGCUUUGCAUUUAUACACCACUGUGUGUCAAGGGCGAGUGACGCGAUUCAUCACAUCAAAUGGUGAACACCAGGGAUACAUGAUGCUGAUUGGAUUUGACAUACUCUUCCUAUUUCACAAGUGUGAUUUCUUUCGUAGAAAGGUUUCUUAACCAAAACGCUCCAGAAGUCAUCAGAAGAAGCAGGGGAAGAAGGAUGAACUUAACUGAGAGCCCGCGAAGAUGUUGAACCAGGAAGAGGCAAUCCGAUGAACUCAAGAAAUCAUCAGAAGAAGCAAGCCAAUAAGAUGAACUCAACCAAGAAUAUGCAUUGAUGCUAAACACGCUGGAAGCCAAGAAGAAGCGAUCCGAUGAGCUCAGAAAAUGGACAAAAGAAGCAAGGCAGGAUGAACCAUGGUGGCAAGUACACCUAUCCUUGAUGCUUGAGCUUCAGUGCUUGUUGAUGAGUAUGGAGGAUCUUGGGUUGGGGUACACUUCUAAACUGGAUUCAGAUACUCUUCGACACGGGGUGUGACCAGUGCACAUAUGACGGCUGUAGGAGAACCUUGACACGCACCCGAAGGGGCUCUCAACUAUCGCAUGUGCGUUGGGCUCUUUCCCGCAUGGGAGAGAUCUAAAUCCCCUAAACCUAGGGUUCCCAUAUUAUUAAUUUAAUUUAACACUGUUUAUAUUUAGGGGAUUCUAGUCCCACGUAAACAUAUAUAUAUAUAUAUAUAGCAAAUAUAUUGGAAGUUGGGGUUUUUCCUCUAUAUUGUAUUAUUGUACAGACCCUGUUGUACUCCUAUUUUUCAUUUUGCUUUAUCAAUCUCAACUUUUAUAUAGAAUAAAAGAAAACUUUUGUCUUA